rnacentral:tRNA from 3 species
GCGCGAGUGGUGGAAUGGUAGACACGUACGUUUGAGGGGCGUAUGCGCAAGCGUGGGGGUUCAAGUCCCCCCUCGCGCACCA